GACGAACGCUGGCGGCGUGCUUAACACAUGCAAGUCGAACGGAAAGGCCCUGCUUUUGUGGGGUGCUCGAGUGGCGAACGGGUGAGUAACACGUGAGUAACCUGCCCUUGACUUUGGGAUAACUUCAGGAAACUGGGGCUAAUACCGGAUAGGAGCUCCUGCUGCAUGGUGGGGGUUGGAAAGUUUCGGCGGUUGGGGAUGGACUCGCGGCUUAUCAGCUUGUUGGUGGGGUAGUGGCUUACCAAGGCUUUGACGGGUAGCCGGCCUGAGAGGGUGACCGGGCCCAGUGGGCUUGGGGAAGGGCCAGGCCCCAUACGGGGGGAAGGGGGGGGGAAUUGUGAAAAAGGGGCGGAGGCGGAAGCGAGCAACGCCGGGGGGGGAAGCGGGGCUUUCGGGUUGGAACACGUUUUCGCGGGUGAAAAAGCGUGGGGGAGGGUAAUGGGUAAAAAGCCACCGCCUAACACGGG
rnacentral:rRNA from 1 species